AUAAUAUAGAUGAAACAUCAGACACAAUUGGGCUAAUAGGUAUCACUAGAUCAAUAAUGCGACACAAAUCUUGCGUAAAACGCCAACCCUUACCAUUAGGUUUCCUUACUGGGCUGAUAGGUUUAUUGUAUGGUGAACAGGUUUAAUAACACCGUGCUCGAGCAGUAAAACAAUGACAGACUGAAUAUCUAUGUGUCUGUCUGUCUGUCUGUCUGUACAUGAGCUACUUCAUUGGAGUAUGUGGCCCACAAUUUGGAUGGGACCUCAGAGUUUGUCAGGUAUUUUCAGGUCAUGUGGGGUCUCGGUCGUGUCAGAUGUACACAUAACAGAAGAAAAACAGAGAUUAGUCGGAGUACUGAGAACAAGAUGUCCUCCUUCAACUUAGCCAAAAUGUCAUGACCCAACAGAUUGAAUAGUGAAGAUGGAAUGACAACGGAUCUUUGAUUAAAAGAGAAUUUCAGGAUCAUCAGGACUAGUAGUUUUGAGUGAGAAAGUUUUAGGACAGGUGACAGGAACCCCAUCUAUUCCCACAGAGUUGAUACAAGAGUUUGUUACUGGCCCAUUGUACAGUUUUACAAAUAAGGUGCAUGUAGCACCUGUGUCAACCAAAAAAAGGGUAAAUGGACACCUUCAACACAUAGAUUUAUAAUUGGUAAUGAAUUUGGAUCAGAAGUACAAGGAACAGCAGAAGGGGUUCCUUCACUCUGUGGGCAGCACUAUUGAUGUUGAAAUUGCCACUGAUGAGUGUUACUCUGAAAAUUCUGUAUCUCAUCCUGUGUGUGUGUGUGUGUGUGUGUGUGUGUGUGUGUGUGUGAGGUGAAUACUUGGUUACACCUUUUCUAAGGUCAUGUUGUUUCUUUCUAUAUUCCGUUCCCCAGUGACCAGGAAUGUGGCAAUAAUUCCAGGCUUUCUGUUUCGAUGGCUGCGCUGGUGAGAUUGUAGGUGAAAUUUUCCCAGUAAGAUCUUUUUACACUGUUUCUGAGAAACACUUCUAACACUGAACUGAGACAAGGUGCAUACUUCAUUCUGAUAUGGAAGAUGUUUCAUGGAGGAUUUACUCAGGAGGGCUAAAGUGAUGUGACCUAACUGACCUGCUAAUCUAGAUAAGAUAAAAAAAAAAGUGUUCAUCUGUUUGUCCUGCUGUCUUGGUCAGGGUCAGUCAUUAUAUUUAUAUAUAUCCCACCAAAUGGGAUGCAGCUAAGGUCACUUUAAGAGGUCACAUUAUCUCUUUUAAUACCUGGAUAAAAAAUUGGAACAAGAGGUCAAAAGAUUGGAAUUGCUUCAUAAAAUUUCAUCCACACAAAACAACUGGAAUCUUUUUGAUUCAAGAAUAUUUUUAUUGAUUUUUAAACAGAGACAGAACAUACAAGGUAAACGUGUAGUGUGUGUUUUACUUGGAUUAUCUGGAUUUAUAAACCCCUUACACACACCCCUAUACCCCCCACCCCAGGGGGCAAACAAGACAUAAUAUCUCUAAGCCACUGGGCGUGGCUGGGUGAGGUGGCAUCCUUCCACUUAAGUAAAAGAAAACACCUGGCCAGGAGGGAUGCAAAGGACAAUAAUCGACGUUUAGCUGGGGUUAGACGCCCAUUAUCCUCUCCAGUAGAGCCAAAAAGAACACCCAGCGGGUCUGGAUCAAGAUCGCAAUUCAGACAGGGUUUGAAAGACAUCCCUCCAGAACUUUUAGGGCAUGUCCAGUACAUAUGAAAGAGAGACUCCUCUCCACUUUUACAUUUAUUACAGCAGGGAUCCACAUCUGGGUAGAAGUGAGAAAGUUUAACUUCGGACAAAUGAGCCCUAUGUACAACCUUAAACUGUAAUAAAGAGUGGUGGGGACAUGAGGUUGAGAUGACGAGCUUGAGGAUCGAGUUCCACGGGUCAUCUGACAGUGUCAGAUUUAGGUCUUUUUCCCAAGCAGUUUUAAUUUUACUCAAAGUGGUGUAACUCAAACCCAUUAAUAUGCCAUAAAUAGUGGAUAUUAGGCCUUUACACAGUGGAGACAGACAGAGGAGAUUAUCUAUAAUAUUUGCAUCAGGAGCCUUCGGGAAGUUUGGUAUCAAAGCUAAUGUCUUAUUAGCUGAUUAUCUGAAAAAGUGAGAUUUGGAUAAAUUAAAGCUUUCAGACAGCUGUUCAAACGAUGCAAACUUAUAAUCAAUAAAAAGAUCUUUGCAAAGCUUGAUGCCCUUACUGUGCCAUUCAUGAAAUACUGGAUCAUGUAAAGAAGGUUGAAAGAGAUGUUUAGAGACAAUAGGACUGGUCAGAGAAAAGCGAAAGGACCGCUGUGCUUUCUGAACUGAGCCACUCUCUCAGAGUAUGUCUAAUAACUGAAUUAUUGAUUGAUUUAAUUGAAAGGAUGGGGAGUGCAGGUCCAAGAAGUGCAGAGACAGAGAGGCUUCUGACAUUUCCACCCAGGCAGGCCGAUUAGGUUGGUUAAGAAAUUUAAAUAAAAAAUAAAACUAGAAUAUAGAAUAUAAUAAAUAGUAUUUAAAUAAAAAUGUAAAACGAAUCUAAAAUAUUAGAAAAAUAAUUUAAAUAAAUGUUAAACUAGAAUAUAAAAUUUUAGAAAUAGAAUUUAAAUAAAAACGUAAAACUAGAAUAUAAAUUUUUAGAAAUAGAAUUUAAAUAAAAAUAUAAAACUAGAAUAUAGUGCUACAUCCCGUUUGUAUUACUUCUGUGUUUUCUUUUGUUUUGGGAGAUGUUUGUGUCUUCUGUCCAGGAAGAAGCCUAAUUGGUUCCAGUCUACUUGGUGCCAUGCCCUUCCUAGUCAGCUGACCCCUUAUGGCCUAUAAGAAGACUCCAUCAUCACGUCCUGCUUCCUUUCUACUACCAGCAGACCUAUUGUGUCAUAGCAGCUAUCAGAUUGUAUUCAUUUUCCCUAUUGCUUUGCACAGCUGAUGACCCAGCAGAGGAAAUACUCCGAAGCAGAUAUUUGUGUGUUUUGGCAAUUUCAACCUAAGCCUGUCUGCUGAGGAGGGUGCAGAUGAUGGGAACACCACAGUGAAUGUAACACAACCGGAUUCUGUAGAGGAGAUGGAGCAGGUGCCACGAAAAACCUACCCGCUGUGCAAGAGAAACAAAACAGUUCAGUCAAAUCAGCAAAGACCAGUGAAUUGUUUUAACGAUUUUUCAGUGCUUUUACACUUUUAGUCCUCCUUUAAUUUGUUUAAAAACAAAUGAUCUCUUCCAAUGAGCAUGAGACAGAUGAUUAGGGGUCAAGUGUUUAAUGUGAAAUCUUUCAUUAAGAGAACCAAGUUUCAGUGCUUCCACACAUACUAGAAUCUUUUGAUCCAAAAUUAGAUAAAUUUAUCUAAACAUAUGGUGAGCUCCUCUAAAGAUGACUUGGCAGAUGACUGGAACCCACACAGGACUCUUCAGAGGACGAUUCAGAAAUGGAGGAGGAUCCAGUGAGACAGAGGGUCACAAAAGUGGUUAAGAAAAAGAGAGCUCUUGGCCCUAUUCCACAAAGACAGUUGUAUGUAUGGUGACCUCAAAUGAAGCUGAUCAGCUUCAGAAGGGGAGGAGAAUCAAGAGACACAAAUGAUUAUGAAGGAGGCUGAGAACAAAAUGGUUGCCAGCCCUGUCCUGCAGAGAGAGGAUAAGAAAACUUUGCUGAGCCCAUCUCCAUGUCUCCAACUGAAAACAGUCAUUGUUCAAGUGAAUCGUGUCGCUCUCAAAGGGGUAAAUAUGAUCGACAAGAAUCAAAGGAUUUCAGUUAAAGUUCCUCCUGGUAUGCAGCAGGCCAACAUAAGCCCAGGAACAGCAAGUAUCCUGAAAAUUCAUUCAUCAAAAAUUCCAUCAGUCAAGUCUCUUUCAAGUCACCUUACCAAUAUCUGGUAACAACCAAAGACAUCAGGUUGGUUCCCCCUCUGCACUGAUGGUCAUCUCAGGAUCCAUGGGUGAAGCAGGACAAGGAAGAGAAGCAGAGAUUUAGGAUGAGGCUUUGGAGAAGGAGGGGAGUGAAGGUAAAGAAGGACAAAGAGGAGAAGCAGAGGUACAGGAGGAGGCUUUGGAAAAGAUGAGUGACUUUAAACUUUAUUGGACUGAAAGUAAAGAACAGAAGAGGAUUAAUGACACAGGAGAAGGCUUUACAGAAGGACUGAGAACUCAUUGGAGAAUAAAUUGUGUGUGAUGAAAAAAGAACGUAAAUAGAAAAAGAAAGAGAGCUCUUAGCAUGCCACCCCAGAUAUGUCUGCUCCUUCAAACUCUUCUAGUGAGGCUCACAGUGAGCAUGCCAUCCUAAAUAGGCCUUCUCCUUCUCACUCUGCCAACAUGGCUCACAAUGAGCAUGCCACCUCAGAUAAGCAUUCUCACUCUGUCAGAGUGAAAACUGGCAAUACUAAAAAGAAAGCGUCCUUUGCUGAGGGACACUUCCCCUGGCUGCAGGAACUGCCGGGUUAUGUUUGCUGGACUUAAGGUGGUGAAGCAGCUGCUCCAGUGUGAAACUGAAAGGAAUGAUGAGCUCAAGCAACUGCAUUCUUCAACAAAUCAUACAAUUGUGUGAUUUCUGAUACAUACAAUGUGAAAAUUUUCUUUUGAUAAACAGAUCUGCUUUACAUACUUUUUAUUUCAGACAGUUAAAUAUGGACGAAGGAAACCUUUUUUACCAGGUAAAGCCCCUCACUAUGGUGUGUGUAUAUAUAACACUCCUUUAAAAAAAAUUACUACCAAAUUUGAAGGAUAGGUGACAUUGUAUUAUUCGGCAGAUUGUAGAACUCUCUCAGACAAAAUGAUUUAGGAUUUUAGGCUAUUAAAAUUAUAUUUACUUUGAUUUAUAUUUGUGUCUUUUCAGUAAGGCUAGUUGAGUUUAGAGGCCAUGUAGAAGGCGUGAACCCAUGCAGGAAAGCCCAAGAAAAUGCCAAGCAGCGAGCCACUCGUAUCUAUUUUUCUGGAAUUUAUGGCAGACUCAGCAAUUCCAAAUGUUGUUGAUCAUCUUUUCCUUACAAACCAUAGCAGAGUCCGUGUGUAAGUACUAAAUUGUAGCGUCUGCAAGUAACUGUAAAGAUUGUCCGUGUCAAAUAGAGUAGGAGACAUGGCCUAAUUUGUAUUUUUGACUUUACAGUCUUGUUGCACACCUCCAAGAAAGAGUUUAAACCAACAACCCAGAGAUAUUUGAUGUAUCUUGUGGCUUUCAUGAAAUACAUUUUGAACGUCACCACCAUCUGUCAGACUCGGAGCUAAAAGGAUCAACGAUCUCUUGGUUGAAUCGAGGGUUCGUCUCCGAGUUAUUGGGCGGGAUGGAGUUGGGCACCAGCUCAGAGUGCACCAAUCAAAGUCUCGUAAGUUUGAGAUACCUCCAUUGCUUAACACCACAUAAAUGGAGAAACACGAAGGUCACACUUCCGGGCGAAGUAAGAGAGAGCAGCAGAGACGAGAACUUCCAACCACACUUCCUCUAAACACAUUUAAGCGUCCUUCUUUUCUCUUUUUUUUUCUUGUCGAAUUGUGUUGCAACACAAAAGAUAAGUAUUAUACUUUGUUCAGAACGCGUAAUGAGCAACCCCAAACAAAAGCAAAGUACUGCGCCAGCAACACAUUCAGGUGCUUUCCUUGUGGGAAAGCUAGCAGCCAUGGCUGCUAAUGAUGAUAACACUAGCAACAAGGAUACACCUAAAAAAGACAACACGGAUAACUUGUCUGAGUCAGCUAGUCUCCAAACUGGCAAAACCGCGUGCCAGUUUAAAAGAAGACAUGGCAAGUUUAAUUCAAGAUUCCAUCAAGCCGCUACAAGCCUCCCUUGAUAAGCUCCGUGAGACUUUCAGCUCGUUUCAAAACCACCUUGCAUCUACUGAAGUACUGGUGGGCGAAAACUUCGAAAAGCUAGCUGCCGCGGAAGCGAGGAAUAAAUCCUUGAAGGCACAGAAUUCAUCCCUUCUUGACCUAAUUGAUGACCUUAAGAACAGAUCCAGAAGGGCUAACCUGCAUAUUAUCAAUAUUCCGGAAGGCUCUGAGGACGGAAAAGACUCCACCGAGUUUAUAUCUGGGCUACUUAAAGAUACCAUGGAGAACGUAUUUGAAACACCACCUGUUCUCAAACGAGCGCAUUGCGCGCUUCGCCCCAAACCUGGAGCAGGGCAAUCUCCGAGACCAUUCAUCGUCUGCAUCCACCGUUUUUCAGAAAAGGAAAAAGCAGCUCACUGGGCUAGGUGACAUGAUGUAAAAUUCAACGGAGUUUCCCUGAGGUUAUAGCCGGACACGAGGGCGGCUCUAGCGAAAAAAUCAUGCCAGUUUCAAAGUCAAACAAAACCUUUAUCAGAAAGGCAUAAAGUUUCAGCUUCUGUACCCUGCACGUUUCCAUGUGAGAUUCGGAGACGAAGCUGCCGAGGCUUUUUACAAACAACGCAUCCUUGUACGGGACUAAAGUCCGGCUCUGGCUGUAACAACUUAACAGAUAAGUUAUGUCACAAACAACUGUCUCGAGGCCACAAGGUGACUAUUUACCUUUUUUUAUUGCAAUGCUAUCCAAGACAUCAAGAAAAGAUGUUCCUUUUUUUUAUGUUCAUUGCCUUAAAGCAUAUUUAAUAUAAAGUUUUUAAGAUGCUAAAUUGUUCUGUGUAAAUAUUGUGGUUUGGGGUAUCUCAAUAUGGGAGAGAGGAAAAGUCUGGAAAAUCGGGAGCCAAGUAAGCUUGCUGGGGAUGCAAGCAUAGGGAAAAUUUGGGAAAGGUUGGGAACUUUGGUUGUGUUACAUUUAUCAAAAAAGUGUUGGGAAAUUUUUGUUUUAUGUUAUGUUUUUUUUCAAGAAUUUAAUAGUGAGGAAACAUGUAUGUUGCUGUUGGCAUUUUUGUUUUGUUUGCCUGCUUAAUUUUAUAUUAGCCCAUGUCAGAUAUGGCCGAUUUCUCAAAAAAUCCUGGGGGAUCGAAAGUUUGAUUUAUUAGUUGGAAUGUCAAAGGCCUAAAAGGCCCAACCAAAAGGGGCAGAAUUUUUACUCAUUUAAAAAAAUUAAAAUCUGAAAUAUAUUUACAGGAAGCCCACCUACACAUUGCUGAUUAUCUCAGAAUAAAGAAAUCAUGGGUGGGACAAAUUUUCAAAGGCAAGGGGCACUGCCAUAUUGAUACAUAAAAGCAUUCAAUUUACUGCCUCUGCUUCUAUUGCAGAUCCCCAGGGAAGAUGCGUUAUAGUCUCUGGGAUGUUAUUCCAUGUCCCUGUUCUUCUAGUUAAUGUAUAUGCUCCUAACUUGGAUGAUGUGAGUUUUAUUAACAAGCUUGUUUCUUCAUUGCCAGACUUAAAUUCCUAUCUUAUGAUUUUUGGUGGUGACAUGAAAUGUGUUAUGGACCCAUCCCUAACCCCAAACCUUUAUCCCAUCUUAAAACGGCACAAGCCUUGUCUACAUUCAUAGACCAAGUGGGGGCUGCUGAUCCUUGGCGUUUUCUAUGUCCACAUAGCAGAGUAUAUUCCUAUUUUUCACAUUCAUCAUACCUAUUCAAGACAGAGUUGAUGCCAGAAGACGCAAUUUGUUCAUUGAAGUGGAACCUGAGAAUAUUUCUACAGCACUUGAUGACCUUGAGAAGCAACCAGAAAACCGAGCUAUGCUGAAAUAGUUUUUUGGAAUUCUGUCUGGAUACAUCAUUGUAAUAACUGGCCAGUGAAAGGGUGUCGUCAUUAAUAUGGCUACCGAAGAGGUUGAGACAGAAGAAAAAGCUAAGGAUGCUGCCCGCAUCAUUCGUUCUAACAGGCCAAGCAGCAACUUGGACAUAAAGCCUACAGGUUAAUAAGCUGAUGACCCAGCAGAGGAAAUACUCCGAAGCAGAUAUUUGUGUGUUUUGGCAAUUUCAACCUAAGCCUGUCUGCUGAGGAGGGUGCAGAUGAUGGGAACACCACAGUGAAUGUAACACAACCGGAUUCUGUAGAGGAGAUGGAGCAGGUGCCACGAAAAACCUACCAGCUGUGCAAGAGAAACAAAACAGUUCAGUCAAAUCAGCAAAAUCAGACCAGUGAAUUGUUUAACAAACCAAGUUUCACUGCUUCCACACAUACUAGAAUUCUCUUCAUAUGCGUAUUCGUUGGCGAGUCGCGAUGGCCUGGAGGCUGCUGUUAUCUGCUGGAUCCAUGAGCGGUGAAGUAUUCUGUAAUGACUCGAGAGAUAUGGAUCCAAGAUCCUCCACCUCGGGCAAGUUAGCAGUUAUUAAGCCUCUUCUUAAGAAACCUAAACUAGACCCUAAUGAAUUAUCAAAUUACAGACUGGUUUCAAGCCUUCCAUUUAUAUAAAAAAAUAUUAGGAAAGGUGUUAGCUCAAUUAUGUUCCUUCUUACAGGAAAACAAUAUCCUUGAAGAAUUUCAGUCAGGUUUCAGGCCCCAUUAUAGCACAAACUGCACUAGUUAAAAUCACAAAUGACUUGUUUUUAGCUUCGGACCAAGGCUGCAUCCUCCAUGUUAGUCCUGCUUGAUCUUAGUGCUGCAUUCCACACUAUAGAUCAUAACAUUCUCAUAGAUUGCUUACAAAAUCACACAGGUAUGCAGGGACAGGCAUUUUGUAGAUUUAAAUGGAAAACUGUCCAGUGUAGUCCCAGUGAAAUACGGGGUCCCACAAGGAUCAGUUUUAGGACCUCUGCUGUUCUGUUUACAUGCUUCCAUUGGGUAACAUCAUUAGAAGGCAUGGGAUUAGUUUCCAUUUGUUAUGCCGAUGAUACCCAAUCAUAUCUCAUCAAAACCAGAUGAAAUAUCUAAAGAUCUAGAUUAACUGAGUGUGUUAAAGAUAUUAAAGAUAUUAAAGUUUUGUAAAAACCCAGGAGAGUUCCUUCCUUGGUGGUGCUAGAACUCAGAAGAGGGCUCCCUCUGGCAAUCAGACGGGAGCAUAGCCUGACAAGAUGUUACAGCCAGGGUACAUAGAGGGGUACAGAGGUAAAAAGGUUGAAGACCCCUGCCCAGAAAUGUACUGGGGAAAAGGACAAAAUGUCUCUAAAAAAACAAGUAUGCGCGCGCACACUGAACAUGAGAAGUCCUCAUAAAGGAGCUGUUUAAUGAAAGUUUCUUCUCACUUGCAUUCUCUAGCUCAUCACAUUUCAAGUGAUUUUCACAGAGCUGGUUCCCCAUGUUCUCCACUGUGUCUCGCAGUGUCUUCACCUGGUCUGUCAGGUCAGACUUCUCCUCCUCCAGCUUAGUGAUGGUCUCCACAACCUUCUGGUGUUUCUCCUCAGUUUCAGACAGGGAGACCUGAAAACAACAACAAUUAGUGCUUAUUGUCUUUAUUUCCUUUUACACACACAUUCAGAUAUUUUAAAUACUGACUCAUUACUCAUGAGAAUAUCUUCAGCUUCACAACAUCAGUCGUAGCUUCAUGAGAAGAAUAUUUCCCUUCAGUAACUUUUCAUAGUUUGUCAGAUUCUCCAUCAUUCUAUGGAACUCGGACUUCAGAUCCCCGUCUUGCAGUGCCUUCACCUGGUGUAUCAGGUCAAACUUCUCCUUCUCCAGCUGAGUGAUGACCUUCAUAGCCUCCUGCUGUUUCCACACAGAUGUAGUAAUAAGUAGGAUAUUUUAACUACUUCAGUCAUCUCAAGUACAUUUGUAAGACAUUUCCCCCACUGGCAAUAGGAAAACUUUUAUCUUCCUUCUUCUGAGUUGGCAGAUUGAAAAGGGAAGUCCUGUAAUCAACACUGAGGGAAAGACCCUCAUGACCCCAGACAUGUCAAAAGCUGCAUUUAAAACAAUUCACAGAAAAAAAUGUAAAAUCAGUAUCAUCUUGUUCAGAGUGAUCUGUGAAACGUGCCCAUUGUUGUGAAUGCAUGUCGUCUUUCUUUUGGUGAAUCACAUUUUUCUGACAGGAGUGCUAAACUUAUGCUUUAGGUGCAUGUUUAAAUUGCUCCACAUUUACUAGAAGGACUCUUCAAUGACUGACAAAGACAGGUACAAAAGGGCUGAUAUUUAGGAGAGAACAUUAGGGUAAAUGGGGAACAGGUGAGAUGGCGGGAAAGCAGAACAAUAGGAGGGGUGUGGCACAAAACACGUGGGGAAUACAAAAAAAGCAGGCUAUGAUGAAUCACCUGCGAGCACACCCUCUGGUGGUCUGGCAGGGAACUGUCCCCGUAGUUCCUGACAAGAUGAGUGCUUGCUUUCUCGUUGUAGUGUUUAUUUCGGAUGGUAAGGAACAGGAGAUUGUAAUUUUAUGUGACACUGGAGCAGAUCAGUCUUUUAUUUGUGGCGGUUUACUUCCUCUAUCAGAACAAACAUUUAGAGAAUCUUAUGCUCUUUGCCAGGGCUUAGAGAUGAGGUAUGUCCACGUUCCCUUAAAUUAUGUAUCUCUGAAGUCUGGUGUUGUGACUGGUGCUGUUAAGGUUGGAGUUCAGCCAGUUUUACCAGUUACUGGGGUAGAAUUAAUUCUAGGUAAUGACCUAGCUGGUGGGAAAGUUGUUCCAGUAGUGGAAGUAUCUAAAGUCUGUGAGGAAUGAUCUGGCAGAGAAGCUUCCAGAGGUUUUUAUUUCAUGUGUUGUAACACAGUCCAAGGCAAAAUAUUCUAGUGAUGUUUUGGAUCUUUCUGACUUAUUUUUAACACAAGAAACCCCUGUGAAAUUGGUUAAACCAGAUGUUAAAACGCAGCUGCUUACAGGCCUGCCUUUGUCUAGUAAACGUCUUACUAGAAAUGAAUUAAUUUCUGCACAACACUGUGACGAGAGUUUACGGUCCUUCUUUACUGCUGUACCUGACAUGAAUGAAGUGGACAAGAAACAAGUGGCUUUCUUUCUAGAUGACGGUUUGUUGAUUCAUAAGUGGACUAAAUGAGAUUAAGGAUGCUGUUUUUCAGAAGCCUGUGGUUCCUUUAAGGUAUCGACACUUGGUUCUGAGUGUAGCCCAUGAUCAUCUCUGGUCUGGACACUUGGGGAUCACCAAAACAUAUAUAAUCAAAUGUUGAAACAUUUUUUCUGGCCACAGUUACACGUAGUUAAUACAUAGUUAAAUAUUGUGCUUCAUGCAAGACGUGUCAAAAGGGAGGAAAACCAAACCAGGUGAUUCCUCCUGCCCCCUUACACCCUAUUCCUGUGAUGGGAGAACCUUUUUUAAAAGUUGUUGGUAGACUGUGUAGGUCCUUUGCCCAAAACAAAAGCAGGAAAUCAGUUUUACUCACUACUACAGUGAGGGGGAAAAAAUGAUUUGAUCCCCUGCUGAUUUUGUACGUUUGCCCACUGACAAAGAAAU